CAGAACAGAAGGAAGGGAAACAGGUGGGCCUUCCAGAAGUUUGUAAAGCACUAUCCAAAACUGAAGACAUAGAACAAGCUUUGGGUGGUUCGGCGAUUCGAUCAAGUGCAGGUAGCAAUUUGAAACAUUGGAAGAGGGUAGCUUGGGGGAAUUACAGAGAUACAUCUGGGGAGGUUCUCUCACCACCUCAGCAUGUUCAUCAUGACCCAACAGCCUUUGACAGGUAUGAUUCAUUGGCUAUUGGGAUGGAGAGGAGUGGGGCGACCAUCAUGAUUCUGCUAAGCUGGAGCUGUCGAGGGCUUGGGAACCCUCAGACAGUUCGCGAGCUUCGCCGGAUGGUGAAGAAUAAGCAUCCCCACUUUUUGUUUCUUAUGGAAACAAAAGUGAAGAAUGAAAGGUUACAAAAGCUGAGAUAUUCGUUGGGCUUUGAUGGGUUGAUUACAGUAGACCCAGUGGGAAAAAGUGGUGGUUUAGCCUUGUUUUGGAAGGAGCUGCACUCUGUUGAACUUCAGAAUUUCUCGCAAAGACACAUUAGUGCUACCAUCCGGGUGUUAGGCUCAGGAGUCCCAUGGAAAUUCACAGGGUUCUACGGUCACCCUGAACCUUGUUAUGGACCGAACUCUGCCGCUUCAGCUGUGCCAAGGUAUACCCUGGUUUUCUUGUUUGCUAACUCAAAAUGCAAGAGGUUCUUCCACAACCGCUUGAAGCCUUCAAAGCUUACUUGGACAGCUAUGUACAGAAAGCAACAUAAAAAGGACGUAGCGGCCGAGACUGUGAAGAAGAGGCGUCAUGCCACCAAGAAGCCAUACUCUAGGUCCAUAGUUGGAGCUACCUUGGAAAUUAAUUAUCCAGAAAAAGAGAGCUGAAAAACCAGAAGUAUGAGAUGCCGCACGGGAAGCCGCUCUCCGUGAAAUUAAGGAACGGAUCAAGAAAACCAAGGAUGAGAAGAAGGCAAAGAAGGCAGAAACAACGGCCAAGACUCAGAAGUCUCAGAGCAAGGGAAACUUGUCCAAGGGUGCUGCCCCAAAGGGCCCUAAAAUUGGAGGUGGUGGUGGAAAGCGCUGAGCAGCCAACUUAGACAAGUGAAAUGUUUUGUCUUGGGUUUUGUUUUGGCUAUGGCUUUCUUUAAUUACAAGUGAACUUGAGCAGAUUUAAUUUGUAUUUAAGUCAUUACGUAUUGGUUAGAACCAUUGAUAUUGCUUUGUGUGUUUCAUUUCCUGGUGAAUGGUGUGAUCGUUUUGAUGGUAAGUGUUGUAAACUGGCAACUCCUUUUUCUUUCCUGGUUUUAAAUUGAGAGGUGCAUAGUUUCACUUCA